GUUGCUUCCAGAAAUGUUUUAAAGCUCAAGGUAAUUUAGAAGUUGAGAAAUAAGAUAAAUUAAGAUUUUACAUUUUAUUUUCAAGUGGUGUAAAAGGAGAAAGGUGAAGGGCUUUUUUUAAAUUAAGGUAGUGGAUGACAGCUGAAGAAACUGCUGCUUUUGUCUAAAGAUGGCUCUCUUCCUUUACUCAGAAAAGAAGAAUUGUAGCUGUAUGAAAUGGAAAUGAAAUGUGGAUUUCAAAUGCAACUGUGCAAAUUCAUGAAAUGAGAAGUCUAUCUGAAGCUAUUAGGAAAUGACAUUAUGGAACACAGAACCACACUGAGCAAGCUGUUCCAAACACAAAGGGAUUUAUCCUGUGCAUAGGGAAGUGAGAAGUUGGAGGGGCAAAUAAGAUCUCCUAAUUUCCAUGUUUCUUCUGUUUGUUGGAGAUUUGAGUACACAUUUGUUUUCUUCCUUAGGAAGAACUGAAGAUGGGACUUAUUACAGUUGA
rnacentral:lncRNA from 1 species